rnacentral:lncRNA from 1 species
UCGGUAAAUAAUUUUUGUAGCGUAAAAGCUAAAUAAAUUCAUACAUACUAUAAUAUAGAUAACCAAAGAAUAAGAUUUAAUUUACAGUGACAUGUGGGCCCACGAAUGACCAAAAGUAUCAAAAGCGGUAAACCUACAAUUUUUGAGGAUGUAAGUCCAACUGUAGCCCUCAACGAAAUGAGCUAUUUACCAACUAUCUUGAGCCUGAAAUGGGUGGAAAUGAGGGUGGUGAGAUUAUAUAAUCCCAAUGAGUAAACAAAUACCAUAUAAAAUAUCUAAAGCUGAGUAAAUGGAGACAUAUUAAAAUAGAUAUCAUACUUUAAUUCAUCACCUUUCAACUCAUUUCAACCAAAUAAAAUCAAUUCAUAUAAAUCGAGUAAUCAACAUGGCUUAUGAAUUUCUUAAAACUUUGGCUCGUGCCAAAAUCAUUCUCAUACUUAGUUAUUAGGGAUACCUUAGCCUGGGGCUAUCCCAACCAAGUCUGCCAAGGCUGUUAAAAAGUCAUGUACGCAUAAAUCAUAUUUUUAUUUUGAAAACAUAGCCAUUCCUUGGCGUUGGCUGAGUUCACCCUCACGUGGUGGUUUGGCGUGAAAUGAACUCUAAAGUUGUACCUCAGGAGUUACCCUACACGCCUCUCUGACCGAGGUAAGGAUAUAACGGGGCUACCGUGCCCCUCUAAUAGGCUGAUCCACAUAACCAGCUCACUGCAGCAAGCUAAACCCACCAAUUCAAUAAAAUCUCAACCACAUGACAUGGCAAUUAUAUCACAAUCCAGCCUCUCAAGGCUAAAUACACAGUUCAUAUAUUUCAACACAAAUACCAAUUCAGCCAUUCAUGCAAAUAUUGUCAUAAGCCAUUCGAUUCAAACCAUGAAUUUACAACACAUGAAAACAGUCUCCAAUUACUCUAUUUUUAAACCAUCAUUCAAUUGCAAGACAAUGUUAUAAAAUCAUUUCAUUAAAUCACAUUUUAAUUACAAAACAGAAAGAUUUACCAUUUAACUCAUUUUCCAUAAAAUCACAAAAUUGUAUAAAAACCACUUUAGAUAAUUAAGAUGAUAGUAAGGUUACUCACUUUAUCGGGAGUCGAAUUUCGAGUACUCCAAUUCUUGACCCUCAUGUACUAUCUCUUUACUUUUGCCAGAAUGCUCACCACCUAGACAUAAUGCACAAUAACCAAUUUACUACAUUUGUGCUAAAUUGUUAUAAAACCAAUUCAAGCUCUAUACUAAUGCAUGAAAUGGGAUGUGAAAUACUCAGGUAACUAUCCAAAUACGGUGUUCAAUAUAAAUUCAAUUAUGUACCUAAAUAAAAUGAUAUUGGCCUAAUUCAAUCUAUCACUCGAUUAAUUGGCCAAUACGUCCAAUUCAACUCCAAAUAAUUCCAUUUUUCUCCCAAUACUCCAAAUCAUCAAACACAAAUUAAAUAACUUGAAAUAUGGCAAAAUCAUUCUCACAUUUUCUCUUGGAAAAUUCGACCAUGGUGGGUGCAUCAACACUAUAAUUUUUUAAGCUUGAUUCUCACACUAUAAAUCACUAAUUCUUAACCAAAUACUUGAAAUAAAAUCAAAAUCAUCAUCAAUAUUCUACAUGGAGAAUUCAGCCAAUGAUGGGUGAUGGGAGGAAGUGAAUUUUUCUUGUUGGCUUUUCAUGCUACACAUCACUAACUAACUAAAAACACUAAAAUACAUUGAAAUCUAACCAAAGCCAAGUUCAAAACUCCUCCCCCCAUGUCCGUCCAGCAAGGGUAUCCUCAUGCAAACUUGAUUCUCAACCAUGAAAAAUGAAAAAGAAUGCAUAGGAAAGGUAAAUCACAAGCUAGAAUUGAAAAAUCUUACCUUUUGUCACUUGAUUCUUUGAAUUUUUGUGAAUUUCUCUUGAAUUUCUUGGCUAGGUUUUUGUUCUUCUUCUUUUCUUCCCUUUUCUUCCUUGGCUGGCCAAGAGAAA